rnacentral:tRNA from 1 species
AUUCUUUUAGUAUUAACUAGUACAGUUGACUUCCAAUCAAUUAGCUUCGGCGUGAAUCCGAAAAAGAAUA